rnacentral:rRNA from 1 species
UCUCUUGGCGGCGAGUGGCGGACGGGUGAGUAAUAUAUCGGAACGUGCCCAGUAGCGGGGGAUAACUACUCGAAAGAGUGGCUAAUACCGCAUACGCCCUACGGGGGAAAGGGGGGGAUCGCAAGACCUCUCACUAUUGGAGCGGCCGAUAUCGGAUUAGCUAGUUGGUGGGGUAAAGGCUCACCAAGGCAACGAUCCGUAGCUGGUUUGAGAGGACGACCAGCCACACUGGGACUGAGACACGGCCCAGACUCCUACGGGAGGCAGCAGUGGGGAAUUUUGGACAAUGGGGGAAACCCUGAUCCAGCCAUCCCGCGUGUAUGAUGAAGGCCUUCGGGUUGUAAAGUACUUUUGGCAGAGAAGAAAAGGUAUCCCCUAAUACGGGAUACUGCUGACGGUAUCUGCAGAAUAAGCACCGGCUAACUACGUGCCAGCAGCCGCGGUAAUACGUAGGGUGCAAGCGUUAAUCGGAAUUACUGGGCGUAAAGCGUGUGUAGGCGGUUCGGAAAGAAAGAUGUGAAAUCCCAGGGCUCAACCUUGGAACUGCAUUUUUAACUGCCGAGCUAGAGUAUGUCAGAGGGGGGUAGAAUUCCACGUGUAGCAGUGAAAUGCGUAGAUAUGUGGAGGAAUACCGAUGGCGAAGGCAG